rnacentral:rRNA from 1 species
CUGGCUCAGGACGAACGUUGGCGGCGUGCCUAAUACAUGCAAGUCGAACGAGGUCUCCUAACUGAUAGCUGGUGUUUGCAUCAGC